GCCAGCGUAGCUCAGUGGCAGAGCAACUCUUUUGUAAAGAGUAGGUCGUCGGUUCGAAUCCGACCGCUGGCU
rnacentral:tRNA from 1 species